GACGAACGCUGGCGGCGUGCUUAACACAUGCAAGUCGAACGGAAAGGCCCUGCUUUUGUGGGGUGCUCGAGUGGCGAACGGGUGAGUAACACGUGAGUAACCUGCCCUUGACUUUGGGAUAACUUCAGGAAACUGGGGCUAAUACCGGAAAGGAGCUCCUGCUGCAUGUGGGGGGUUGGAAAGAUUCGGCGGUGGGGGAUGGAUUCGCGGCUUAUCAGCUUGUUGGUGAGGUAGUGGCUGACCAAGGCUUUGACGGGUAGCCGGCCUGAGAGGGUGACCGGCGACAUUGGGCCUGAGAUAGGGCCCAGACUCCUACGGGAGGCAGAAGUGGGGAAUAUUGCACAAUGGGGGGGAGCCAGAUGCAGCAAUGCCGCGUGCGGGAUGACGGCCUUCGAGUUGUAAACCGAUUUCGCCUGUGACGAAGCGUGAGUGACGGUAAUGGGUAAAGAAGCAACGGCUAACUACGUG
rnacentral:rRNA from 1 species